UACGAGGGGGGCGAGCGUUGUUCGGAAUUAUUGGGCGUAAAGGGUGCGUAGGCGGUUUGGUAAGUCUCUUGUGAAAUCUAUGGGCUCAACUCAUAGUCUGCAAGGGAAACUGCCGGGCUUGAGUGUGGGAGAGGUGAGUGGAAUUUCCGGUGUAGCGGUGAAAUGCGUAGAUAUCUGGAGGAACACCGGUGGCGAAGGCGGCGUCCUGGACCAACACUGACACUGAUGAGCGAAAGCCAGGGGAGCAAACGGG
rnacentral:rRNA from 1 species